rnacentral:rRNA from 1 species
AAAUUGAAGAGUUUGAUCAUGGCUCAGAUUGAACGCUGGCGGCAGGCCUAACACAUGCAAGUCGAACGGUAACAGGAAGCAGCUUGCUGCUUCGCUGACGAGUGGCGGACGGGUGAGUGAUGUCUGGGAAACUGCCUGAUGGAGGGGGAUAACUACUGGAAACGGUGGCUAAUACCGCAUAACGUCGCAAGACCAAAGAGGGGGACCUUCGGGCCUCUUGCCAUCAGAUGUGCCCAGAUGGGAUUAGCUUGUUGGUGAGGUAACGGCUCACCAAGGCGACGAUCCCUAGCUGGUCUGAGAGGAUGACCAGCCACACUGGAACUGAGACACGGUCCAGACUCCUACGGGAGGCAGCAGUGGGGAAUAUUGCACAAUGGGCGCAAGCCUGAUGCAGCCAUGCCGCGUGUAUGAAGAAGGCCUUCGGGUUGUAAAGUACUUUCAGCGGGGAGGAAGGUGUUG